GGCCUAAGGUUUAUCCCCACGGAAGUGGCCACAGCAAUUCAGGAGCAUAUAAGUGAAAUGGAUGGUACAUCGGAAGACUCCUUUGAUAUUACAUCAAGAGAAGUGAAAAGAAUCCAUUAAAAUUAAAAGGAAUUGGUGGUCCCAAUGAAAGAAGUGGCAUCAUUAAGAGAAGCAAUAUUUUCUGGCCCCUGAAAGAUGCCCAUAUCCACAGUGUAUUUCUUAAUCCAAGGAGUCUCUCACUACAUUAUUUCAGCAUAUAAGUUGUUCAGUAUUUUUAAAUGGAAGUCUGUAGUGUUUUGUUGCUCUCAUUGCUUCAUAUAUGUUUUCCUUGACAUUGAACUUAUCUUACUGAGCAGUAAGCAUUAAGUAAUAGAUUCAACAUACGAGUCAUUCUAACACUUAUAUAACAUGAUGUGUAUGUUUGCACGCUCGUGCAUGUGUGUCUGUGUGUGUGAGUGUGUGUGUGCUUAUGUGUUGAGUAGAGAUUGACUAACAUGUUUUUCAGGAGUUUUCUUUUGUUGCUGAAUAUUCAUGGUCUCAGUGAUAUAAUUCAAUCCAACACUCAAGAAUUUGGUACUAUCUUACCUCUGAAGUAAAUAUCACAUUUGCA